CUGUCUAUGGGAUACUUUGGGCAAUCUGAUUGGGCUAACGAUGCCACGUGAUUAAGGUUAGCCAUUCACAUUGCUUGAAGCAUCACAUGGGAAC